rnacentral:ncRNA from 1 species
AACAGAUUUGGUCCUAGUCUUCAACUUGGCUACCCCUAGAAUGAUACAUGCCAGUCAAAAGCAAAACAGUGAGUAUUAACAUUAACCCUUCUACAAAGAAAGGAACAAAUAAACCCUAGCAUCAGACACCCCUCAAAGAGUCUAUAACGCUUAGCUAACCACACCUGCAGUACUCAACAUUAUACAAUAAGUAAAACCUUGAUAUAGUCAUAGAAUAAAAUGGCCGGUAAACUAUGUGCCAGCCACCGCGGUUAUACAUAAGACCAUAGUCAAAACCCCACGGUAAAAAAGUGGUACGUCCCCAAAUAACUCAGGAUAAAACCCCAUCUCCAGCAGUAAUAAGCACAACAGAAUAAUAAUUACAAAAGUAAAGACUAAUCCUGAUAAACAACAAACCACUAAAGCUCAAAAAUAAACCGGGAUUAGAUACCCCACUAUAUGAGCCAUAAAAAAACCCCUACCAGAAAACUACGAACCAACGUUUAAAACUCAAAGGACUUGGCGGUUUUUUAGACCUUCCUGGAGGAGCUUGCCACCUAACCGAUAACCCACGAAAAACCUCACCAGCUUUUGAAAAUUCAGCAUGUAUACCAUCGUCGUCAGCCUACCUCCCAAGAGAAGUUCGCCCAAUGAGAAAAAUCAACUCACCACGUCAGAUCGAGGUGCAGCUCAUAAGCUGGGGGUUCGUGAGCUACAAUAUUCCCCCAAGAUUUCCCAAAACCGAUUAUGGAAAGCAUAAUGAAAUCCUUAUGCCUAAAAUAGGAUUCAGCAGUAAUAUCCAAAAGAAACUGGAUAUGAAACCAGCUCUAAAAUGCGUACACAUCGCCCGUCACUCCCCUCAACCAGAAGGGAAAAGUCGUAACAAAGUAGGCGUAUUGGAAAAUGUGCCUGGAACUAA